rnacentral:rRNA from 1 species
AUUGAACGCUGGCGGCAGGCCUAACACAUGCAAGUCGAGCGAGCGGCGGACGGGUGAGUAAUGUCUGGGAAACUGCCUGCUGGAGGGGGAUAACUACUGGAAACGGUAGCUAUUACCGCAUACCAUCAGAUGUGCCCAGAUGGGACUAGCUAGUAGGUGGGGUAACGGCUCACCUAGGCGCCGAUCCCUAGCUGGUCUGAGAGGAGGAACAGCCAGACGAGAACAGAGACACGGUCCAGACGCCUACGAGAGACAGCAGUGGGUAAGUUUGCAGAGUGGGCGCAAGCCUGAUGCAGCCAUGCCGAGGGUGUGAAGAAAGCCGUCGGGUUGUAAAGCGCUGUCAGCGGAGAGGCGUUACCCGCAGAGGAAGCACCGGCUAACUCCAUGCCAGCAGCCGCGGUAAUUC